rnacentral:rRNA from 1 species
CUUGGGCUACACACGUGCUACAAUGGCUAUUACAAAGAGUUGCAAGUUGGUAACAGCAAGCUAAUCUCAAAAAAAUAGUCUCAGUUCGGAUUGUGGGCUGCAACCCGCCCACAUGAAGUCGGAGUUGCUAGUAAUCCCGAAUCAGCAUGUCGGGGUGAAUGCGUUCCCGGGUCUUGUACACGCCGCCCGUCACACCAUGGAAGUUGGGGGUGCCCGAAGUCGGUUAACAAAUCUAUCGCCUAAGGCAAAACCAAUGACUGGGGUGAAGUCGUAACAAGGUAGCCGUAUCGGAAGGUGCGGCUGGAUCACCUCCUU